GACGAACGCUGGCGGCGUGCCUAAUACAUGCAAGUAGAACGCUGAAGGAGGAGCUUGCUUCUCUGGAUGAGUUGCGAACGGGUGAGUAACGCGUAGGUAACCUGCCUGGUAGCGGGGGAUAACUAUUGGAAACGAUAGCUAAUACCGCAUAAGAGUAGAUGUUGCAUGACAUUUGCUUAAAAGGUGCAAUUGCAUCACUACCAGAUGGACCUGCGUUGUAUUAGCUAGUUGGUGGGGUAACGGCUUACCAAGGCGACGAUACAUAGCCGACCUGAGAGGGGGAUCGGCCAACAUGGGACUGGAACACGGCCCAGAAUCCUACGGGAGGCAGCCGUAGGGAAUCUUCGGCAAUGGAGGGAAGUCUGAACGAGCAACGCCGCGUGAGUGAAGAAGGUUUUCGGAUCGUAAAGCUCUGUUGUAAGGGAAGAACGAGUGUGAGAGUGGAAAGUUCACACUGUGACGGUAGCUUACCAGAAAGGGACGGCUAACUACGUG
rnacentral:rRNA from 1 species